UACGUAGGGGGCUAGCGUUGUCCGGAAUCAUUGGGCGUAAAGCGCGUGUAGGCGGCUCGAUAAGUCUGCUGUGAAAGCCCAGGGCUCAACCCUGGAAUGCCGGUGGAUACUGUCGAGCUAGAGUCCGGAAGAGGCGAGUGGAAUUCCUGGUGUAGCGGUGAAAUGCGCAGAUAUCAGGAGGAACACCAAUGGCGAAGGCAGCUCGCUGGGACGGUACUGACGCUGAGACGCGAAAGCGUGGGGAGCAAACAGG
rnacentral:rRNA from 1 species